UGGCAAAGUCGAACAGGAAGCUUUGA
rnacentral:piRNA from 1 species